GCCGGCGUGGUGAAAUGGCAGACACGGUAGACUCAAAAUCUACUGACCGCGAGGUCAUAUCGGUUCAAGUCCGAUCGCCGGUA
rnacentral:tRNA from 2 species